rnacentral:rRNA from 1 species
UACGGAGGGUGCGAGCGUUGUCCGGAAUCACUGGGCGUAAAGGGCGCGUAGGUGGCGCAGGAAGUCAACGGUGAAAGUUCGGGGCUCAACCCUGAAUCGGCCGUCGAUACUCCUGGGCUCGAGCCACUGUAGAGGCAGAUGGAAUUCCGGGUGUAGCGGUGGAAUGCGUAGAGAUCCGGAAGAACACCGGUGGCGAAGGCGGU